rnacentral:rRNA from 1 species
ACCAGCGGAGGGAUCAUUACCGAGUUUACAACUCCCAAACCCAAUGUGAACGUUACCAAACUGUUGCCUCGGCGGGGUCACGCCCCGGGUGCGUAAAAGCCCCGGAACCAGGCGCCCGCCGGAGGAACCAACCAAACUCUUUCUGUAGUCCCCUCGCGGACGUAUUUCUUACAGCUCUGAGCAAAAAUUCAAAAUGAAUCAAAACUUUCAACAACGGAUCUCUUGGUUCUGGCAUCGAUGAAGAACGCAGCGAAAUGCGAUAAGUAAUGUGAAUUGCAGAAUUCAGUGAAUCAUCGAAUCUUUGAACGCACAUUGCGCCCGCCAGUAUUCUGGCGGGCAUGCCUGUCCGAGCGUCAUUUCAACCCUCGAACCCCUCCGGGGGAUCGGCGUUGGGGAUCGGGACCCCUCACCGGGUGCCGGCCCUGAAAUACAGUGGCGGUCUCGCCGCAGCCUCUCCUGCGCAGUAGUUUGCACAACUCGCACCGGGAGCGCGGCGCGUCCACGUCCGUAAAACACCCAACUUCUGAAAUGUUGACCUCGGAUCAGGUAGGAAUACCCGCUGAACUUAAGCAUAUCA